CCUACGGGUGGCUGCAGUGGGGAAUAUUGGACAAUGGGGGGAACCCUGAUCCAGCGACGCCGCGUGAGUGAAGGAGUAUUUCGGUAUGUAAAGCUCUAUCAGCAGGGAAGAAAAUGACGGUACCUGACCAAGAAGCCCCGGCUAACUAAGUGCCAGCAGCCGCGGUAAUAGGUAGGGGGCAAGCGGUAUCCGGAUUUACUGGGUGUAAAGGGAGCGUAGACGGUGCAGCAAGUCUGAUGGGAAAGGUCGGGGCCCAACCCCGGGACUGCAUUGGAAACUGUUGAACUGGAGUACAGGAGAGGUAAGCGGAAUUCCUGGUGUAGCAGUGAAAUGCGUAGAUAUUGGGAGGAACACCAGUGGCGAAGGCGGCUUACUGGACAGUAACUGACGUUGAGGCUCGAAGGCGUGGGGAGCGAACGGGAUUAGAUACCCCGGUAGUC
rnacentral:rRNA from 1 species